UUCAUUUGCAUAUUGAUCAGAUGCUUCAGUGCUCUGAGAGUGUUUAUAGUGCUGUGAGUUUAACACUUCAUCACUGACACACACAACAAUCUUCAUCAACAUGACCUUCAUCAUCAUCUUCAUCUGGACUCUCACAGCGUUUGCUCAAGAGUGUAGAGGACAGAUCACCGUCACUCAGAGUCCCUCAACGACAGCAGCUCGACCAGAAGAAACAGUCAAAAUCAGCUGUAAAACCAGCAGAGAUGCACUCCUUUGGGGAGGGAAUUAUUAUUUCAGCUGGUACUUACAGAAACCUGGAGAAGCUCCUAAACUCCUGAUUUAUUAUACAAACCGCCUCCAGUCAGGAACUCCAUCUAGAUUCAGUGGCAGUGGAUCUAACAGUGAUUUCACUCUGACCAUCAGUGGAGUCCAGACUGAAGAUGCUGGACAUUAUUACUGUCAGAGUUUUAAUUGCAGAACAAAUUCUGCUGGUUGUGUCGGUGAUCUUGUGUUCACACAGUGAUAAAGAGUACAAAAA